rnacentral:rRNA from 1 species
UACGUAGGACGCAAGCGUUAUCCGGAGUUACUGGGCGUAAAGCGUGCGCAGGCGGUUCUCCAAGUCCGUUGUGAAAGCCCCGGGCUCAACCUGGGAAUGGCAGUGGAAACUAGGGGACUUGAAUCUGGCAGAGGGGGGUGGAAUUCCACGUGUAGCAGUGAAAUGCGUAGAGAUGUGGAGGAACACCGAUGGCGAAGGCAGCCCCCUGGGCUGAGAUUGACGCUCAGGCACGAAAGCGUGGGGAGCAAACAGG